rnacentral:rRNA from 1 species
AUUGAACGCUGGCGGCAUGCCUUACACAUGCCAGUCGAACGGUAACGGGCCUUCGGGUGCCGACGAGUGGCGAACGGGUGAGUAAUACAUCGGAACGUGCCCGAUCGUGGGGGAUAACGAGGCGAAAGCUUUGCUAAUACCGCAUACGAUCUACGGAUGAAAGCAGGGGACCGCAAGGCCUUGCGCGGACGGAGCGGCCGAUGGCAGAUUAGGUAGUUGGUGGGAUAAAAGCUUACCAAGCCGACGAUCUGUAGCUGGUCUGAGAGGAUGAUCAGCCACACUGGGACUGAGACACGGCCCAGACUCCUACGGGAGGCAGCAGUGGGGAAUUUUGGACAAUGGGCGCAAGCCUGAUCCAGCCAUGCCGCGUGCAGGAUGAAGGCCUUCGGGUUGUAAACUGCUUUUGUACGGAACGAAAAGCCUUCUUUUAAUACGGGAGGGUCAUGACGGUACCGUAAGAAUAAGCACCGGCUAACUACGUG